AUUGAACGCUGGCGGCAUGCCUUACACAUGCAAGUCGAACGGCAGCGGGGACUUCGGUCCGCCGGCGAGUGGCGAACGGGUGAGUAAUGUAUCGGAACGUACCAUUGAGUGGGGGAUAACGUAGCGAAAGUUACGCUAAUACCGCAUAUUCUCUCCGGAGGAAAGCAGGGGACCGCAAGGCCUUGCGCUCUUUGAGCGGCCGAUAUCAGAUUAGCUAGUUGGUGAGGUAAAGGCUCACCAAGGCGACGAUCUGUAGCGGGUCUGAGAGGAUGAUCCGCCAACAUGGAACUGAGACACGGUCCAGACUCCUACGGGAGGCAGCAGUGGGGAAUUUUGGACAAUGGGGGCAACCCUGAUCCAGCCAUGCCGCGUGAGUGAAGAAGGCCUUCGGGUUGUAAAGCUCUUUCGGCCGGGAAAAAAUCGCAUGGGCUAAUACCCUGUGUGGAUGAUGGUACCGGAAUAAGAAGCACCGGCUAACUACGUGCCAGCCGCCGCUGUAAUAC
rnacentral:rRNA from 1 species